UCGUCCUUUCUAGUUUGUUUACCCACAUUUUUGAAUCCACUCGUGAUUAACGUGUUGGCCAUCGGUUCAAUUUGCCUGUUCCCUGCAGAAUGUAAUCAAAACCAAGAUACUAAAUCGGAUCAAUGAUUGCUGUUGGUUUUGCCAGUUGGUGUAAUGGAAUCGAAUUUUCACCAGCUAGUCCUAAUGGCUACCGACACAUCACGUUACCUCAAGCGCAGCAUGAUCAUUCGCACGACUCCAUUCUGGCUGGAAUUACCCGAACAACAUUAAGAUGUGGUGUACAUUUGCUACGGUGAAGGAAACCUGGCAAAUAACACUAAACUACAUUAGGGGUAUCCAUCCCGCAGUAUUACCAUUACAGAGAAUAGUUCCGAUAUAGUACUUACAGCGCUCAGACUUGAAUCGGCAGGGUGCGUAGUGAAACAACAGACAACUUCUGACGUCGCCGCUACAACUGAGCUGCCGGAGAUAACUCAAAUGGACACGUACCGGUGUCGACAAUGUUCGUGACAUCCCCGCGCCUCUCCCCAAAGAUUUGAAUAUUUGAUUUUUAUUUGAACAGUUUUUGUGUAGUAUAAAACAUACUCAGGUUCUUCAAGCGUUGUCUGGCGGUGUUAAAUAAAUAUUAAUGAAUUUAACGUGUA